UUUCACACCCCUGACCAUAGGGCAUCCACCGAGUCGACAUUGAUGUUCCUGCAACCUCUAGGUGUUUAGCAUGAUGAAUCUAUUGUAAUUCGAUAUCUUCUCAUCUUGCAAAUUACGUACUUUGUGUUUUUUAUGACUGUCAUGAAUUGAUGUUUUAAUCAAUAUGACUUCAUUCCCUUUUUCCAAUGUAUUUGCGUGGAGUUUCUAUUUUAUGAAUGUGUGCAGGUCAUUGCAAAAACUAACUUUCCAGAAUUGCUUGCCGAGUUGACUCGCCAAAUUAACUCACUAUGUUUGAUUUUCUUUUUAGCCAAAACUCGAUGCCUACAAUUAAAGCUGAAAAAGGCUGAAUACACUAAACGAAUAUCUCCAUUAUCGAAGCUUUAGCCAAUGUUGAUCUAACGCGUCUCUGAAAAUUUCAAUGCCAUCAACAUCUUGCUUGAGUGGCAAAGCUUGAGUUAGAUAUGAGUCAUUAUGAAUGACUCUCGUUUGGUGACCGUACUAGUAAAGCACACAAAGUGUUCGACAGAAUGCCUGACUGAAAAUCAGAGUAAUUCCUCAAAGGCUUAAGAAGAAACAAUACUUGGAUCACGAAAAUUAAGUCACGCCACUAUUUCAAUUAUAGGUUCAAGUCCUGUAGUAUUCCUGUUAACGUUUCUGGCAAUAAAAGGAGUGUUUAUUGUUAUCAAUGAGUGAUCUUUAUGGGAACAAAACUGUAAACUUGAAACACGUCGAUUAGUAAAGAAGACUUCAAUGAAACCGCAAACUUGAGCAAAGAGGUUAUGUUGUCUUUUUAUUCUAUCUUUUCAUCUUCGUGAUUAUAAUGGAGGAGCGGUCACAUUUAAUUAUCACAUUCAAUUCAAUUAGUGUAAUAUUUUUAUAACUGGCCAGUUAUGCAAAAAUUUGGUCUCUUAGUAAUGUUUUACUUUGGUCUGA